AUUGAACGCUGGCGGAAUGCUUUACACAUGCAAGUCGAGCGGCAGCACGGGGGCAGCCCUGGUGGCGAGUGGCGAACGGGUGAGUAAUACAUCGGAACGUGCCCGGUCGUGGGGGAUAACGUAGCGAAAGUUACGCUAAUACCGCAUACGAUCUGAGGAUGAAAGCGGGGGACCUUCGGGCCUCGCGCGAUCGGAGCGGCCGAUGUCAGAUUAGGUAGUUGGUGGGGUAAAGGCCUACCAAGCCGACGAUCUGUAGCUGGUCUGAGAGGACGACCAGCCAACCUGGGGCCUGAGCACCGCCCAGGACCCUACGGGGGGGCAGAGUGGGGAAUUUUGGGCCAUGGGGGGAAACCUUGUCCAAGCCAUCCGGCUGGAAGGACGAAGCCUUCCGGUUGGUAAACUGCUUUGGUAGGGACGAAAAGGCUCUGGCUAAUACCUGGGGCUCAUGACGGUACCGUAAGAAUAAGCACCGGCUAACUACGUG
rnacentral:rRNA from 1 species